rnacentral:rRNA from 1 species
UACGUAGGCAGCAAGCGUUGUUCGGAGUUACUGGGCGUAAAGGGUGUGUAGGCGGCUUCGUAAGUUCGGUGUGAAAUCUCCCGGCUUAACUGGGAGGGUGCGCCGAAAACUGCGAAGCUGGAGCGCAGGAGAGGAAAGCAGAAUUCCUGGUGUAGCGGUGAAAUGCGUAGAGAUCAGGAAGAACACCGGUGGCGAAGGCGCUCUGCUAGGCCGCAACUGACACUGAGGGACGAAAGCUAGGGGAGCGAAUGGG